GCGCUUGCUUUGGUAGUGCAUAUAUUAAGAUUGGAAUGAUAUAAAGAUUAGCAUNGUCCCUGUGCAAGCAUGGCACACAGAUNUGUUAAGUGUUCCAUGUUUUU
rnacentral:snRNA from 1 species